rnacentral:rRNA from 1 species
UACGAAGGGGGCUAGCGUUGCUCGGAAUUACUGGGCGUAAAGGGCGCGUAGGCGGACAGUUUAGUCAGAGGUGAAAGCCCAGGGCUCAACCUUGGAACUGCCUUUGAUACCGACUGUCUUGAGUUCGGGAGAGGUGAGUGGAAUGCCGAGUGUAGAGGUGAAAUUCGUAGAUAUUCGGCGGAACACCAGUGGCGAAGGCGACUCACUGGCCCGAAAAUGACGCUGGGGCGCGAAAGAGUGGGGAGCAAACAGG